rnacentral:rRNA from 1 species
UCGAGGGGAUUGGAGGCUUGCUUCCAGAGACCGGCGCACGGGUGCGUAACGCGUAUGCAACCUACCUUUCACAGGGGGAUAGCCCAGAGAAAUUUGGAUUAAUACCCCAUGGCAUUAUGGAUUGGCAUCAUUCUAUAAUUAAAGUCACAACGGUGAAAGAUGGGCAUGCGUCCCAUUAGCUUGUUGGUAAGGUAACGGCUUACCAAGGCGACGAUGGGUAGGGGUCCUGAGAGGGAGAUCCCCCACACUGGUACUGAGACACGGACCAGACUCCUACGGGAGGCAGCAGUGAGGAAUAUUGGACAAUGGGCGCAAGCCUGAUCCAGCCAUGCCGCGUGCAGGAUGAAGCAUCUAUGGUGUGUAAACUGCUUUUGUACGGGAAGAAACCUCUCUUCGUGAAGAGAAUUGACGGUACCGUAAGAAUAAGGAUCGGCUAACUCCGUGCCAGCAGCCGCGGUAAUACGGAGGAUCCAAGCGUUAUCCGGAAUCAUUGGGUUUAAAGGGUCCGUAGGCGGACCGGUAAGUCAGUGGUGAAAUCUCCCCGCUCAACGGGGAAACGGCCAUUGAUACUGCCGGUCUUGAAUUACUAGGAAGUAACUAGAAUAUGUA